ACAAACACCCAGAACCCUCAGGGUCACAGCUCAGAACCAACACCCAGAACCCUCAGGGUCACAGCUCAGGACCAACACCCAGAACCCUCAGGGUCACAGCUCAGGACCAACACCCAGAACCCUCAGGGUCACAGCUCAGAACCAACACCCAGAACCCUCAGGGUCACAGCUCAGGACCAACACCCAGAACCCUCAGGGUCACAGCUCAGAACCAACACCCAGAACCCUGAGGGUCACAGCUCAGGACCAACACCCAGAACCCUCAGGGUCACAGCUCAGGACCAACACCCAGAACCCUGAAGGUCACAGCUCAGGACCAACACCCAGAACCCUCAGGGUCACAGCUCAGAACCAACACCCAGAACCCUCAGGGUCACAGCUCAGGACCAACACCCAGAACCCCCAGGGUCACAGCUCAGAACAAACACCCAGAAUCCUCAGCGUCACAGCUCAGGACCAACACCCAGAACCCUCAGGGCU